ACAAGAAAGGCGAUGUCCCCAGAUUUGAUUUGUAUCUUGGAGUCAACUGGUGGGAGACAGUUGUAUUAAAUAAUGCAUCCAGCUUUUUUGUAACAGAGAUCAUUCAUGUUUCAGCAUCAAAUCACAUAGACGUUUGUCUUGUGAAUACAGGCUUUGGGACACCUUUCAUAUCAGUUUUGGAGCUAAGGCCUUUGAAAAAUGACAUUUAUGUGAAUGUAUCUGGAUCUUUGGAAAAUUAUGGACGAUGUGCUUGUGGUUUAACUAGUGAUCAAGCUAUCAGGUUCCCAAAAGAUUUAUAUGAUCGUAUCUGGUCACCUUGUACCUCUCCACGCUUGGAAAUUUUGAGUACUGCUUCUACCAUCCAAGAG
rnacentral:misc_RNA from 1 species